AUGUGUACUAACUGGUUUAGAGUGCAACAGUGUCUUGUCAAUUAGCAUGUGUAAAGUUUAUGAAAGUUUUCGGAAUAAAAAAAACAAUAUUUUAAUACAACGUUUAUGUACCUUAACAAAAAAAGUUCAAUCGCACACUUAGAAACAAGAGACAAAUCAUGGUGUGGACUAUUGGCAGCAAUGUUUCUCCCUUCUUUUCUGUGAUUUGUGGAUUGAACUUGGAUUUGAAAGUGUGUUGGUAGAUCUCUGCUGUAUCAAUCUCUUCUAUAUUAUAAUCAGGAUUUUACAUGACUAUUAGAAGUGUUAAUUAUGCUUUUAGUGCACCUGUACACCUCAUGUUCCUAGUCCCUAGUGCACUCUUAUUGUGUUCAACUGUGGAUUAUAUGAUCCAUAUAUUUAACUGUUUAGCUUUGUGGAUAAUAGACCAAACUUGACAUGGGAGGAGUCCGUUAAGAGAGACCUGAAGGUUUGGAAUAUCGACAAAGACUUAGCCAUGGACAGGGGUGCAUGGAAGUUAGCUAUCCACGUUCCAGAGCCAUGACUUGGCUUCGAGAUCUUAUGGGUUUCAACUCUAGCCUACUCCAACUUGUUUGGGACUGAAAGGCUUGGUUGUUGUUGUUGUUGUAGCUUUGUGGAUAAUGGGAGUUAGUGAUGUCUAUUAUCUUGGUUGUCUUUGCAAUAACGCACUUCAUGCCAACAUCGAAUAGUACUUCCUCGCUCAUGUCAGUUAAGUGAUUCCCAUUGAAAGGGUUAUUGUCAUGGGAGUUAUUUUUCUAGUUUUCUUAUGCAUGUUACGGGCCUUAUUGCCAUCAUAAACUCCUGUACAUGAUCAGUAUGUGAUAUCUUGUAUAAUAGGCAGUGCUGUAGAAGAAAGGCUUCCAUUGUAUGAUCAGAACAUCUAUCUGUGCAUAUCUUUUGCACACUUUGUUGAGAUAGAUAUGUGAGAAUUUUAUAUAUCUAACAUUCUUAAAAAGUUGACCGCUUUAACUUUGAUGGCAUUGUUGAUGAAUGCAGAUAAUGCUGGGACCAACAAAGCUGCUCAUAGCACCACAUCGCUCAAUACAAAGAGGCUUGAUGAUGAUACAGAGAAUCUUGCUCGUGAGUUCCUUGCACUUUUUACCUCUACAUGUUUGAAUAAGGAAUAACUACCUAAAACUAAAAUAGCUGUUUAUUGUCCAACCAUUUUGUUUAUGUGCUGUGUGUAUGACAGUCUUGUUUAUGUGAUGUGUCUAUGGCAAUCAUUUUGUUUAUAUGAUGUGUGUAUUUCUCAGUUAAAUCCAAUAAUAUCUGUAAAAUAUGGCGAAGAUUUUUCCUUUGUUUAAAAGGAACUAUGCAGGAGUAUGCUUGUCAGUUGAUCAGUUUCCCUUCUUUCUUAAUGCAUUGACAUGCAUUUCAGUAUAUAUGUACUUAUCUAGGAGUAGUAAAGAAUGUUGGGCUUGCUUGUUCCACAGUAUUGAGGCAACAGUUGUUCCUAAUUAAUCUACCAUCAUGGACCCAUGGUUUACCCUAUUGUUUGAUGAAUUCUUUGAGGUUUGGAAUAAACAUAAUUUGUUGUGAUGUACUGGUCAGUUUUUUCUUAGUUUCUACUUUGUACUGAUAUUCUCUGUCUGUAGCCAAUUCAACUGUUGAUCACAAGGAAAAUUAAGUUCCUCUAUAAUGUACCUGUACUGUCCUUUCAGAGCAAAUUUGCUGUUUAGGCAUUUGAUUUCAUAUUCUGUAAAUAGGAAAAUCAUGAUUUUUCUUUUAGGGCUACACUGUUAAAACUUGAGUUACAUUAUUGCAAUGUUAUUCUGUGGAAUUUUACGUUUAAGGAAUUUGAAUCCUUCAAUGGUCGUUACUUUUUCAUUGUUAUUGGAAUGCCAAUACGUGUUUUAUUGCUUUUUAACCAUUGGGGGUUAACCUCAACAGAUGAGCGUGUGCCGUCAGACCUGAAGAAGAGCAUUAUGCAGGCUAGAACAGACAAGAAGCUCACACAGGCACAGCUUGCACAGGUAUGAAUCUUACUUUACUGCCAACCUGAAAUCUGUAACAUCUCUCUGCCUUCAUUUCCUAAGACGAUUGUUUGACUACCAGCUGAUCAAUGAGAAGCCACAAGUCAUCCAGGAGUACGAGUCAGGCAAAGCUAUCCCAAACCAACAGAUCAUCGGCAAGCUGGAAAGGGCUCUUGGCACAAAGCUGCGAGGCAAGAAGUGAAGCGGCUUGCAUCUGACAGGAGUCGAGGCUUUCAAGAGAGCUUGGCUGGGCAAGUUUACCGCUAAAUAAAGCCUGUCCACUAAAUCAUGCGACUUAAGAAAACCCUGGAGUUUGGUAUUUUGCUCAGGUUUGGGUGAAUGUAAUUAUUAGCUUCUGUGAACAACUCUGUAUGUGGGUUUCGUUUUGUCAGUGUGUCUUGGCCAAUGUGAACUGUCUGAAUGCCUGAACCAUUACUUGUCUC
rnacentral:lncRNA from 1 species